CAUUAUUGGAACGUAGUUUUGGUCAUGACAACAUGGCGCUCAAUGGGGAAAGGUCAGCCCUCUCUGGGCUUUCCGACCUCCGAAAAGAAAAGGCAGAGGAAAAAGAGAACCUCUGGAAAAAGAUCUUGGGAGAAGUGCAGUCAAGUGAACGCAAUAAACUACCAUCAUGGAAAUCAGUCCUUGUGCUAGGUGAAAAUGAAUCCGGUAAAACUACACUGAUCGCUAAGCUACAAGGAAAUGAAGAUCCCAAAAAAGGCUCUGGUUUAGAGUACGCAUACAUAGAUGUCAGGGAUGAAUACAGAGAUGACCACACAAGGCUAAGUGUCUGGGUACUGGAUGGAGACCCUAAACAUGCAGAACUUUUAGAGUUUUCAGUGAAUGCAGACAACUUGGAACACACUUUAGUCUUGCUUUCUGUUUCCAUGACAACACCUUGGGCCAUCAUGGACCAGCUUCACACGUGGGCAUCGACACUCCAGGAUCAUAUAGACAAACUCAAUCUUGAUCCAGACAAGUUUAAAGAACAGCAAGAUAGAAUGUCGCGGUUAUGGCAAGAUUAUGUUGAGCCUGGAGAUGAACUAGAAGCUGGGUCACCCAUGAAGCGAUCAUCAAGAAACCUGGAGAACGAUGAUGAGCCUGUCUUGCCACUCCCAGAGAAUGUUUUAACCAGAAAUCUUGGACUUCAUGUCAUAGUUGUAGUUACUAAGACGGAUUAUAUGUCAACGUUAGAAAAGGAUUUUGACUAUAAAGAAGAACACUUCGACUUUAUUCAACAAUCAAUUCGAAAGUUCUGCCUUCAAUAUGGUGCGGCCCUUUUUUACACCUCGGUAAAAGAGGACAAGAACUGUGACCUGUUGUACAAGUAUCUAGUCCAUAGAAUCUACAACUUCCCCUUUAGAACUCCUGCACUUGUUGUCGAAAAAGAUGCUGUGUUUAUACCUGCUGGUUGGGACAACGACAAAAAAAUUUCCAUCCUUUAUGAAAAUAUGCACACAAUGAGUCCAGACGACUACUACACGGAUGUUGUAGUUAAACCUCCAGUGAUACGCAAGGCAGUUGCGAGGGAGAUAGAAGUUCAAGCAGAAGAUGAACAAGCCUUUUUGGCACGGCAUCUAUCCCAGCUUCAGGCAGGAGGCACUGGUGCCCCCAACACACCCCAGGGUCGUCAGGAAUCCCCACUAAGACAGUCACCAGCUGUGCAGAAGACCAGUGAGCGUCGGGUAUCAACAGGUGUUCCUCCAAAUCAAAUUGGCUCACCAAAGAAGAUGUGGAGGCCGCCUUCUCAGAUUGAGUCGACGAAGCCUGGAGUUACACAAGCCAGUGAAGGUGUUCUUGCAAACUUCUUCAAUUCUCUCCUUAGCAAGAAAACAGGAACAAAUGCUCCUUCCCCUGGGGCAAUAAAAACAAAUGCUGGGUGGGUUGGCCAUGCAUAACCUCCUCUAAAACACCUUGGUCUCUGGCACACUGAACCAUCCUAACACCCUCCCACGACUAGAAACUAAUAUAAAGCUGCUAUGCGGUCUGAUGCUGCUGCAGAGUUGGACCGGUUGACACGAUCAAAGAAACCAACAUCUAAUUCUACAGAAACAAACAACUCCUCAGAAUGUUGACUCUCAUCUAGUAUCAUUAUUGGCUGUGCUAAGGAAUGAUGUUUUGGUGCCCUAGCCUGACUGUAUGAGGUGCACUGUAGUGGCCAAAAAGCAGCGCAGCAUGAGGCAUCCAAGGCAUGAGGCAGUUGGAUGCCUGUCUGGUUGUUACCUACCAGAUUUGUCCUGGACUAGGAUGCGAGUCCUCAUAUUCGGGGUUUAAUAUGGGUAGCUUUUCAUUCCUGUAUGAUAAAAUACUUUUAUUCUUGCCUUUCAAAGGUACCAUCCUGAAAGUAUACAACUAAUUAGCAGCUAAAGUGUUGUAUAAAAACUUUUCAGAGACUUCUAAAGCAAUUUCUGCUUAGUAAUAACGUGACCUUUAAUGAAGCAGUGUGCCUCGGAGCUUGUCACAUCCACAGGAGUUUAGCGUCCGUUUAUCAGUAGUGGUCAAAUUGUGGUGUGUAUGUGAACCUAGCAUAGCAUCUGUGAGCCAGAUCCUUCUGGUACUGCAUCACCCAGGCUGUGCAGGGAGGGUUUAGGAACCACUUGCAAGAAAUGUGGUGACCCUUGAAGGGGGGUGGGGUAGGGGAAACUGGUGGGGUGUGCGUUGUGUCCUGUAUCAUAUUUUCUUAUUUAUUUGUUAAUUUUAUAAACACUUGCUUCCAUGCUGUUAUUCUUGGGCUAUGAUGCUUGUGACCCUUAUGUGUAUAUCUCAGAACCUGAUCACUCACAGGGUUACCAUCUUAAUGCUCUGUAAAUGCAACACCAGUGAAAAAGAUCCAUGUAUUGUAUAUUAAAUACAAGAAGAAUUAGUCACAUUAAAAUUUGCUACUCAGGAGUAUUUAUGAGAUUAUUUCUGACAGUGGCAGCCCAGAUGCUUUCAUUAUGGCAAUGCAUCUUUUUGCCUCGGUGAUUCUUUUCUUUAUUCAUUACUGUUUUAUGAUAUAUGAAUAUUAAUUUUUCAUUACUUUUUAUUUUUAUUACUUGUUAUGAGAUCAACAAAGGACAAGAGUUCAGUCUCAUAUAAAAAUUCUAUGUUUGGGUUCACUAUUUAAGAAGUUAGAGGCUUCAGGUGAGAGAUUCCUUAUCAUUAUUGUUCACUGAAUAGGAAUUGAAUGUAUACAAAGUAUACAGUACGUAGAUGAAAUUGAUUUAGGGUUUAAAGUCACUAAAUUUCAUAAUUCAGUAAUGUGCAUAUGAUUAACAUUAUUAAUUUGUUUUAUUAGGAAAUGUGACUGGUGUUUAAGCUGUAUUUAUCUGUGAUCAAUACUGAUAGGGAGCUUCUCAGAUGUUGCAUAAUUCUGCUCUUGUAGCAUUGAUUUCUGGCAGGUCAUUUAUCCGACUUAUAAGGCCAAGAAGACCCAAAGGCAAAAAGUAUAAGAACUGUUGUUUGGUGGUCAUGUAGCAUUAGGUAAACUGUAUUAUACAGCCCAGCUUUGAUUGUCAGCAUUGAAGAGCAGAUCUUGAUAUAUUUAUUGGCAGUGUUAUUAACUACCUAAUGAAACUAAUUAUUUUUAGCGUCAUGGGUGAUAUCCCAGUGCAACUGUGUAAGACCCAAAUAAUGUGAAGAAGCUUCUUGAAGCUGGAUAUGUAGGGAUGCUGUUACUUCAGGUUGCUGGUACAUCCCAGUUUUAGUCCAUCAGUUUAACCUAAAUGCCAAAGCUUAUUCAUGAUGAAGUUAUGUACUGUAUAUAUAUAUAUGUCCUUGCCUUUAAGUAUCAUUAUCUCCCCAUGUAAGUUUCUUCCUAAUAACUAUCAUUCUAUUAAGUCUAGCAAUUACUUUGAACUUGGGCUGUUGAGGCGAGUAAGUUCAUAUCAAGAUUGAGGGAGUAAGGAAUAGCAGCUUUAAUGAAUGGUGAAAACUUUUGACCUCGAACACAUUCACCAGUGAAAACAAAUCAGGAUAAAUGUUAGUGUUAUGUUAACUUUUUUAGAUUUAUAAUAUUUGUAUUAUUUGAUGUUUUUAAAUCAAUAUAGAUAAUGGAUAAUACUUGUUUAAAUAUUUAUAUUUUCAGUAUUUCAAUUCUUUUUUUUUAUUAUUUAUUGUAUUAUUUUUAUUUUUAUUUUUUCGGGAAGACUAGAGGCAGAAUGCUUACCAGGCAUGACUUAAUUUGAUGCAACAGACUAUUAAGUUAGCACAAUUCAGAACUGACUAGCAAGUGAAAUACACUCAUGAAACAGUAUCUACACAAUAAUGUAUAAAGGUUUAAUAUAAAUUGGUAAAGUCCACAUGCUUAUUAGUCCUUCAGAAGUCCAGCUUUAUUAACCAGGUGGCGCAGAAUCACUAUUAACUCGAGUAUGUUGGCAACAGUACUUCAUGAAACACCAUAUUUAUAAAAAUGAUCUUCAUGCCAUACUUGUUGAUGGGAAUUUAUGUUAUAACUGGGAUAUUUGUCGCAGUACAAUUGUGAUUAUUAAACAUUGGAGUAUGUUCAUUAUUAUUAUAUAGAAGUUCAAAAUUUUUAUGUACCGGUAUUUUGUGUCUAAUUUGUGGAAGUAUUAUAAAUUGAAAACUUAUGGAAAUAGUCUAUUUCAUCCCAAGUGAGAAACAUUUGGUAAGGAUCAAUAACCAUAUUUAACACGUGAUUGUAAGAGUAAAGUCGUUUUAUUUAGAAAUUAUAAGUUUUCUUAUAUAUUGAAUAUGCUUCCUUGUGCUAUUUUGUAAAGGCUUAUGAAGAUCAUUCAAAAGGCAUGAGGAGUUUCACAUUUUAAGUCAGUUUUGUUGCUAAAGUACUGCAGUGUUUUUUUUUCUUGUCAGUUAGCUGGUAAAAUUCUUUGUAUUAUAGGAUUAUUUUUCAUUUGCCAUAGUAGAAAAUUGUAAAAAUAUGGAAAUAUAAAAUUUGUGAUAACUUCA